UUCCUGCAAGAAUCUCUUGUCAGUUACCAGUCCAGUCCUGCAUCUUGGGUCUUACCAGGCUCAGGUGAUUGAACCCAGGUUCAGGAUCUCUUGCAUGGUAUUCAGUGACUUCCUGUGGCCACGGCUCCUCACUGCAGUCACCACCCAGCCUACUUCACACCCAUCAGAUCCUGCCAUGAAAAUCCCGAUCUCUCCAGACUCUCACUCCUUGAGGACUCUUCCAGGAGACAAAUGCUGAUUGCACACAUAAACUCCAGCCAAGGUUUUAAAGGGAGGAAUGAAAAGUAUCCAGCGCAUCAUAAUAAACAGAUAGCAAGGACUUCCUUUUCUAAAGAAAUUUGGAAACUUCAAAUCUCCUUUCUUACAGUUUUCAGUGAGACCUCAUUGUGAACUUUUUCUGAUGGAAAGAAGUAUUUUCAAGAACAUCAAGUGCUUUCAAGAAUAAUUAAGAAUUAUUCCAAAGUACAUUCUAAUGGCUAUUUUAGCAAUUUGAAACUUCA
rnacentral:lncRNA from 1 species